CUGAUAGAAUGGUCUAAAAGACCUUUGUUCUAAAAAUAUUUUUAUUUAUAAAUAUUAUAUAAACUAUUUUAAAAUAGAAAAAAAAAUUAAAAUUUAACUUUAAAAAAAAUUUAAAUUAAAAAUUUUUACACUAAGCUCUAUUUUUAUAAAAAAGUAUGAAUAUAAUUCUUUACCUUUUGUAUCAGGGAUAAUUAAAAAUCAAAAAUAGAUUUCAUAUCUCGAAAUUUAAACAAAUAAAAAAUAAUAGUCUUAAUAUGUAAAAAUUAAACCAAAAUUAUGUUUAGAUUUUAUAUAAAUCCAACUUUUAAAUAUCUAGUUAUUAAAUAAAUUGAUUUAAUCAAAUAUUACUUUUACAAACUUAUUCGGCUUAGAUUUAAGUUCAUAAGAAAUUUAAAUUUUUAGAAGUCAAGUCCUAAAAGGUGUCAAAUUUUAAAUUUUGAUAAUAUUUAAAUAAGAUUAGAAAUUUUUAAGUAAGUAUAUAAUAAUUUAAAAUAAAGUACAAAAAUUUAACUUAAUAAAAUUGAAUAUUAAUUUAAUUGAAAUUCUAACAACUAAAAAUUACCAAUAAUGAUUAUAUCAAUAUACUAAAAAACUUAGAUUUAACAACUAGGCAAAUGUUGGUCAUUUUCAACUGUUUAUCAAAAACAUAGUUUAAGGAAGUUAAAUCUUAAAUAAAUCCUGCUCAAUGAUUAAAAGUUAAAUAGCUGCAGUAAAUUAACUGUACUAAGGUAGCAUAAUAAAUUGCUUUUUAAUUAAAAGCUAGAAUGAAAGGAACAAUGAAAAAUUAACUUUUUAAUUUUAACAAGUAAAACUUAAUAUUUAAGUGAAAAAUCUUAAAUUUUAUCAAAAGACAAGAAGACCCUUUAGAAUUUUAUAAAAUUAAAAUCUAAAUAUUAAAAAUUUUUAUUAAAUUGGGGAGAUUAAAAAAUAGCUAAAUCUUUUUUUAUUAUUUUAAGAUGCCUAAAAGCAAAGUAAAUUAUCCAAGUUAUGAAUUAAAACAAAUUACCUAAGGGAUAACAGCGUAAAAUUUUUAAAAAGAUCAAAUUAAUAAAAUACAUUACGACCUCGAUGUUGGAUUAAGAAUAGUCCACAAAGCAGAAUUUGUGGGUAUUGGUCUGUUCGACCAUUAAAGUCUUACAUGAUCUGAGUUCAGACCGGCGUAAGCCAGGUCAGUUUAUAUCUUUGAUUAAUUAAAUAUUUUAUAGUACGAAAGGAUUUAAAAUAGUGAAAUUUUC
rnacentral:rRNA from 1 species